UUAAUUGAAACCAAAUAGAGGUCUAUCACUGUUAAUGAUAUAAUUGAAUUAUAAUUCCAAUUAAA
rnacentral:tRNA from 1 species